UUGACCUCGGAUUAUAUAAGGAUACCCGCUGAACUUUAUGAUAUCAGUAAAACGGAAAGGAAUAAAAACC
rnacentral:rRNA from 1 species